rnacentral:rRNA from 1 species
GAUGAACGCUGGCGGCGUGCUUAACACAUGCAAGUCGAACGGACAGGCCCUGCUUUUGUGCGGUGCUCGAGUGGCGAACGGGUGUGUAAAACACGAGUAACCUGCCCUUGACUUUCGGAUAACUUCAGGAAACUGGGGAGAAUAUCGGAUAGGAGAUACUGCUGCACGGUGGGGGUUGGUGAGUUGCGGCGGUUGGGGAUGGACUCGCGGCUUACCGGCUUGUUGGUGGGGUAGUGGCUUACCACGUCUUUGAAGGGUAGCCGGCCUGGGAGGGGGACCGGCCACAUUGCGACUGAGGUACGGCCCAGACGCCUACGGGAGGCAGCAGGGGGAAGUAUUGCACAGUGGACGCAAGCCUGAUGCGACGGCGCUGCGUGCGUGAUGACGGCCUUCUGGUUGUGAACCGCUUUCGCCGGAGAUGUGGCGUGAGUGACGGUAAUGGGUAAAGAAGCACCGGCUAACUACGUG